UCUCUCGAUUUAGAUCUACUAAGCUCCAUUUUUCCAAAUUUCGAGGUAGCGAGAUCCACCGUUUCUCUCUCUCUCUAGAUCCAUGAAAUCAAUAGAGAGAUCUAUGAAAUCAAUGUUUGAAGGCAUUCUUACUUGAUCCUUAUUUGCAGGGACUCAGAGAUUCGGUGAUUUCAGAGCGAUUUCGAUUUCGAAGCUCCAGCGCCACCAUCAUCUGCACCUGCGAUUUCGAUUUCACUAAGAAGCUCAGAUCUGAACUCUGAACUUUAAUCGUUAUGGAGAAGCUGAGGCAUUGACUGGUGAUAUUGAAGAAGAUAGUCAGAUUUUUGGGGAGGUCUUGAGGAUCAAAAAGAUUAUUGAUUAUUGUCAAGAUGAGGUUUGUCUUCAUAACUUCUAUUGAAUCUUUCUCUUUUAUGUGAAUUUAAUUUUUAUUUCUAUAUGCUUUUGAAAGUUUUUUUUUUUUGUAAGAACUUUGACUGAUAAAUGGGAGAUUAAACAAAAAUUAAGCAGAAAUUCCCUGUUACAUUUUGAUCCCAGGGUGUGCAGAAAAUCCCUGUUACAUUCUUAUUGAUAAUUGUCAAGAUAAUGUUUGGCAUUCUCUCUCUCAUGAGAACAUUACUGAGGAGGGUACAGCUUCCUAAGAGUUUUUGAACAUAUAUGAGUGUGGUCAUUCAUGUGUAGAUUAGCUUUUAAGCUAUUAAUUUUUGUGAUGUGAGUCUGGGAUCAGAAUGCAAAGGGUAUGCUCUCUGUUGUAGCUAAGAAAUUAAGAAGAAAUUAAUGGCAUACUCUAUGUUGUUGGUGGAUAUGAUGGAAGAAAUUACUUGAGGCUGGUUAUGAGAUUGUCAUCUUCAUUCAUCGCUUUCAUAAUCUCAACCUCUUCCAACAAGGGUAUGUAUGCUUCUAUUACUUCUUCUUCUUCUAUUAUAUCCAUUUCUCUUUCUAUUUGAUCAUUUCUUU